ensembl:lncRNA
CUCAAGCGACUCCUGGAAGGAACAGAAUGUCCCUUCUCUGGAUCCUACGUGGAGGCAUGGCCAGGGGACUCUGCACACUGCCCAGUCCUCAGGCACUACCUCUUCAGCUCCCAUUGGAGUGCCAGAGGGGGCCAUUGGAGUGGGGCCAUUGGAGUGCAUGGAGCUGGAAGGGAGCCAUGCUGCGGCUUCUGGGAGCCGCAUGGAGCGGCCCCCGACCCUUCUCCCCAGCUGGAGCACCAGAGGGGGGCCAUGCCACAGCUUCUGGGAGCCAUGUGGUGCAGCCCCCCACCCUGCUCCUCAGCUGGAGCAGGGUAAGCCCCAGACCUCGGUUCCCAGCAGGAGCUCAUGGGCUGGCUUAAAAUGGCUCACGGGCCGAUUCCAGCCCACGGGCCAUAGUUUGCCCACCCCUGGGUUAGAGGCACACAAGGCUACCCCAGACUAGAGGCACACUAGGCCCCUCCUUGCUCAUGGUACACAAGGACACUCAGGCUGGCGGCACACAAGGCCACCUUAACCAUAGGUUCAUAGAACCUCGGUCACAACCCUGACUUGGCCUCUUGCCGACCGGGAACCCAUCCUCGUGUCAAUGGACCACCAUUAACCACGCCGAGUAAAUUAUAACAUAUCAAAUCAAUAAUCAGUUAAAUCAAUUGUAAGAAGGGGGUCCUGCUGCAGUCACCAGAAAAGUUAACCCAGAAGAGGGAAGUAAGGGAGUCAGGACCAUGUUAAACCCAAAACCCCCACACUGCAGGCCGUCCCCCUCCUGACUCUGUCAUCUGUUUAUGAUUUAUCACUCAAAGACAACCCGUGAGACAGGAAUAGAUAACAAAACAACAAGAGUUUAUUAACAAGGACACCCCCUAUAAAACUAUAACAGAUAAUAAAAUUACUCAGCUGUUAACUGCACAAUUGGUUUAAAGCCAAGGACCCCAAAAACCAACACAACACUAUGGGUGGGGAAAGCAAAUUCAAUGAUCAACACAUCACCAUCUUUCUCUCUCUCUCUCUCUCUCUCUCUCGUACAAUAANNNNNNNNNNNNNNNNNNNNNNNNNNNNNNNNNNNNNNNNNCAACACAUCACCAUCUUUCUCUCUCUCUCUCUCUCUCUCUCUCUCGACAAUAAGGACCACACGGAUGCCAGGGACAUGUCCGGGACCACAAGAUGCCAACAGGAACACAGGAACUCAGGAUACAAUGAAGACCUUCAGGACACAGGAACAACACAACCUGGUAAAAAGAAGAACUUGCCUGCUGCUGAGGAAGGGGAUGACGUUGAUGGAAACGUAGACCCUUAUUCUACCCAUUCUUAUGUACGUGCUUAACUUUACACUCUACUAAUUUUGUUGACUUCAGUGGGAAUAUUUAUAUGCUUAGUGUUAGGCAUGUGCUUAAAUGUUUGCAGGAUCAAGUCCUUAUUGGCUGCCUCUUUACUGAAUAAUUAUAUGAAUAUAUUACUAUUAUAUUUUAUGGCUAUCUCCACAUAUAUAAAAUAUGGAAUUGUAUAUGGGAUGAUAGAUAAUUGUUCGCUUCUGAAAGUGAAGCUUUAUAGGACAUAAUGCAGUAAUGGAUACUUGAAUGUGAAAUGUUUAGAAAUACUAAGGAUUUAUUUUAUUGCACCUUCAUCCCAAGUGUUACUAUGAACCCCCCACUCCCAAUUAUAGUUGCAUGAAUUUUUUUGGCAGAUA